UGAUAAUGGACAUUCUUACUGGGGUGAGGUAGAAUCUCAGUGUUGUUUUGAUUUGCAUUUCUUUUAUGGCCAGUGGUGUAGUGCACGUCAUGUAUCUCUGGGCCAUUUUAAUUUCCUCUUCUGAAGAGGAAGUCUCUUUUUAGUUCUUUAGCCCACAUGUUGAGGGGGCUGUUGUUUCUUUGAGGAUUUGUUUUG